UACGUAGGGCGCAAGCGUUGUCCGGAAUUAUUGGGCGUAAAGCGCUCGUAGGCGGCUUGUCACGUCGGAUGUGAAAGCCCGGGGCUUAACUCCGGGUCUGCAUUCGAUACGGGCUAGCUAGAGUGUGGUAGGGGAGAUCGGAAUUCCUGGUGUAGCGGUGAAAUGCGCAGAUAUCAGGAGGAACACCGGUGGCGAAGGCGGAUCUCUGGGCCAUUACUGACGCUGAGGAGCGAAAGCGUGGGGAGCGAACAGG
rnacentral:rRNA from 1 species